GGACCGGAGUGAACGAACCUCUGGUGUUCGGGUUGUCACGCCAGUGGCACUGCCCGGUAGCUAAGUUCGGAAUCGAUAACCGCUGAAAGCAUCUAAGCGGGAAGCGAGCCCUGAGAUGAGUCAUCCCUGACCCCUUGAGGGUCCUAAAGGGCCGUUGGAGACCACAACGUUGAUAGGUGGGGUGUGUAAGCGUAGCGAUACGUUGAGCUAACCCAUACUAAUUACCCGUGAGGCUUAACCAUACAACACCCAAGAAGUGUUC
rnacentral:rRNA from 1 species